rnacentral:snRNA from 1 species
GAAUACCCAGCUUGAUAAGGCUCCUACGACAUCUGUCACCCCAUUGAUCUCCAGGGUUGAUUCAGCUGAUCUGGCUGGAUAGGCAGGUGUCCCCUUCCUCUCUCAUCGCUCCAUGUGUGUCCCUCCUAAAGCUGCAUGCUAGGUCAAAGCUGCAUGCUAGGUCAAAGAGGACGACCAGCCCCGAUAGAGGAGGACUGGUCUUCAGUCAAGGGUAUACAAGUAGCUGUGCUCCCCAGCUAGAACCUCCAAACAAGCUCUCAAGUUCCAGAAGGAAGUGAAAGAAAAAGGAAACCAAGAAUGU